UCAAACGAUUAAAAGUUCAAACCAUAUUACUUCGUCUGUCUCUUCGUUUUUAAUUCCGGUGUGAAGAAAAUUAGAAGAACAAUUCCGGUGCGAGUAGCGGCUUAAAGGAUUUUCUUCAUCUCCCACCAAACCUUCAUAGCGAGUAGCGGCUUAAAGGAUUCACUGCAAUCACCGAAGUGCCAACUUUGUCAGUGAUGGAAAUAUGGCGUCAUUUCACUCGGAGAAAUGUUGAAGAACCCUCUUGCAAUUACUGUGGAAGGACUUA